UGGGGAAUAUUGCACAAUGGGCGAAGGCCUGAUGCAGCAACGCCGCGUGAGUGAUGAAGGUCUUCGGAUUGUAAAGCUCUGUCUUUUGGGACGAUAAUGACGGUACCAAAGGAGGAAGCCACGGCUAACUACGUGCCAGCAGCCGCGGUAAUACGUAGGUGGCGAGCGUUGUCCGGAUUUACUGGGCGUAAAGGGUGCGUAGGCGGAUGUUUAAGUGAGAUGUGAAAUACCCGGGCUUAACUUGGGUGCUGCAUUUCAAACUGGAUAUCUAGAGUGCAGGAGAGGAGAAUGGAAUUCCUAGUGUAGCGGUGAAAUGCGUAGAGAUUAGGAAGAACACCAGUGGCGAAGGCGAUUCUCUGGACUGUAACUGACGCUGAGGCACGAAAGCGUGGGUAGCAAACAGGAUUAGAUACCCUGGUAGUCCACGCCGUAAAACGAUGAGUACUAGGUGUAGGAGGUAUCGACCCCUUCUGUGCCGCAGUAAACACAUUAAGUACUCCGCCUGGGAAGUACCGAUCGCA
rnacentral:rRNA from 1 species